rnacentral:rRNA from 1 species
UGUGUAGGCGGCUUUUUAAGUUUGGUGUGAAAUCUCCCGGCUCAACCGGGAGGGUGCGCCGAAUACUGAGAGGCUAGAGUGCGGGAGAGGAAAGUGGAAUUCCUGGUGUAGCGGUGAAAUGCGUAGAUAUCAGGAGGAACACCGGUGGUGUAGACGGCUUUCUGGACCGUAACUGACGCUGAAACACGAAAGCGUGGGUAGCAAACAGGAUUAGAUACCCUGGUAGUCCACGCCCUAAACGAUGCAUAUUUGGUGUGGGUCAUUCAGUUGAUCCGUGCCGGAGCUAACGCGUUAAAUAUGCCGCCGUGGGGAGUACAGUCGCAAGGCUGAA